CCUACGGGAGGCAGCAGUGGGGAAUAUUGGGCAAUGGAGGCAACUCUGACCCAGCAACGCCGCGUGAAUGAUGAAGGUCUUCGGAUUGUAAAGUUCUGUGAUGGGGGAUGAACACAAUGACGGUACCCCAAUAGCAAGCCACGGCUAACUACGUGCCAGCAGCCGCGGUAAUACGUAGGUGGCAAGCGUUAUCCGGAAUGACUGGGCGUAAGGGGUGCGGAGGUGGUUUAGUAAGUUGGCGGUGUAAUUCCGGGGCUCAACCUCGGCGCUACCGCCAAAACUAUUAGACGAGAGUGCAGGAGGGGUAAGUGGAAUUCCUAGUGUAGCGGUGGAAUGCGUAGAUAUUAGGAGGAACAUCAGGGGCGAAGGCGACUUACUGGACUGUAACUGACACUGAGGCACGAAAGCGUGGGGAGCAAACAGGAUUAGAUACCCGAGUAGUC
rnacentral:rRNA from 1 species